rnacentral:rRNA from 1 species
ACUCCUACGGGAGGCAGCAGUGGGUAAUCUUGCGCAAGGGGGCCAAGCGGAAUGCAGCACAUGCCGGGAGACCAAGAAGGCCUUCGGGUUGUAAAG